rnacentral:misc_RNA from 1 species
GAGACUUCAUGCCUCAUGGUUCUCCACUCAAUUCAUUAACAACUAGGCCACACUCUUGAGCCCUGCAUCGUAUCGAUAGUGAUUCAGGUAGCAUAUUAGAACAAAUCCCAAUCUUCAAGGUAACAUUGUCUCACAGAGAAACUUGGAAAGCAAUCACAGAGCUUUUAAUGCCUCAAUAACACCCUCUUGACGCUAACAAUUUGCACCUUCAACACUCCAUUACUCGUUCAUCAUAAGGCAGCAGGUAGAGUAACCAUAGGAAGAACUGAUGAUGUCAAAAGAAAAAACCAA